rnacentral:rRNA from 1 species
UCUGGUGCCGAUGCGCUUAGGGGACACACCCGUUCCCAUCCCGAACACGAUGGUUAAGACCUAAGCGGCCGAUGGUACUAUGCUGGAGACGGCAUGGGAGAGCAGGUGGGUGCCAGGU